rnacentral:rRNA from 1 species
UGAGGAAUAUUGCACAAUGGGCGAAAGCCUGAUGCAGCGACGCCGCGUGGAGGAUGAAGGUUUUCGGAUUGUAAACUCCUGUUAAGUGGGAAAAAAGAACUAUCCUGAAUAGGGAUAGGUGAUGAUGGUACCACUAGAGAAAGCACCGGCUAACUUCGUGCCAGCAGCCGCGGUAAUACGAGGGGUGCAAACGUUAUUCGGAAUCAUUGGGCGUAAAGGGUGCGUAGACGGCGAAAUAAGUCAGUCAUUAAAUUUUCCAGCUUAACUGGAAGUCUGUGGCUGAAACUGAUUUGCUUGAGGAUGGAAGAGAGAAGCGGAAUUCUCGGAGUAGCGGUAAAAUGCGUAGAUCUCGAGAGGAACACCGAUGGCGAAGGCAGCUUCUUGGUCCAUAUCUGACGUUGAGGUACGAAAGCGUGGGGAGCAAACAGG